AUCCAGCUGACGAGUUUCAAAAAGGACGAAACACGCGUGAAACUGUAU
rnacentral:hammerhead_ribozyme from 1 species